AAUGAACGUUAGCGGCGCGCCUGAUGCAUGCAAGUCGAACGCUCAAGUCAUCCGCAAGGAAGACAAGAGAGUGGCAAACGGCUGAGUAACACGUAAGUAACCUACCUCUAAGUGGGGAAUAACUUGCCGAAAGGCAGGCUAAUUCCGCAUAUGCUGAUAAGCGAAUGUUUUUCAGUAAAGCUUUCGGGUGCUUGGAGAAGGGCUUGCGUCUGAUUAGCUAGUUGGUAGGGUAAUGGCCUACCAAGGCGAUGAUCAGUAGCUGGUCUGAGAGGACGACCAGCCAGACAGGGACUGAGACACGGCCCUGACUCCUACGGGAGGCAG
rnacentral:rRNA from 1 species